GCCCUGUGGAUAGCUCAGUCGGUAGAGCACGAGAUUCUAAACCUCAGGGCUGUGUGUUCAAAUUCCACCUUGGGCA